GCUCAGAUUGAACGCUGGCGGCAGGCCUAACACAUGCAAGUCGAGCGGAUGAAGGGAGCUUGCUCCUGGAUUCAGCGGCGGACGGGUGAGUAAUGCCUAGGAAUCUGCCUGGUAGUGGGGGAUAACGUCCGGAAACGGGCGCUAAUACCGCAUACGUCCUGAGGGAGAAAGUGGGGGAUCUUCGGACCUCACGCUAUCAGAUGAGCCUAGGUCGGAUUAGCUAGUUGGUGGGGUAAAGGCCUACCAAGGCGACGAUCCGUAACUGGUCUGAGAGGAUGAUCAGUCACACUGGAACUGAGACACGGUCCAGACUCCUACGGGAGGCAGCAGUGGGGAAUAUUGGACAAUGGGCGAAAGCCUGAUCCAGCCAUGCCGCGUGUGUGAAGAAGGUCUUCGGAUUGUAAAGCACUUUAAGUUGGGAGGAAGGGCAGUAAGUUAAUACCUUGCUGUUUUGACGUUACCAACAGAAUAAGCACCGGCUAACUUCGUGCCAGCAGCCGCGGUAAUACGAAGGGUGCAAGCGUUAAUCGGAAUUACUGGGCGUAAAGCGCGCGUAGGUGGUUCAGCAAGUUGGAUGUGAAAUCCCCGGGCUCAACCUGGGAACUGCAUCCAAAACUACUGAGCUAGAGUACGGUAGAGGGUGGUGGAAUUUCCUGUGUAGCGGUGAAAUGCGUAGAUAUAGGAAGGAACACCAGUGGCGAAGGCGACCACCUGGACUGAUACUGA
rnacentral:rRNA from 1 species